GGAGAGAUGGCCGAGUGGUCGAAGGCGCUUGACUCGAAAUCAAGUAUAGGCGGAAGCCUAUCUAGGGUUCGAAUCCCUAUCUCUCCGCCA
rnacentral:tRNA from 1 species